ACGGGAGGCAGCAGUGAGGAAUAUUGGUCAAUGGGCGAGAGCCUGAACCAGCCAAGUCGCGUGAAGGAUGAAGGUUCUAUGGGUUGUAAACUUCUUUUGUUCGAGGGUAAAGUGAGUCACGUGUGAUUUAUUGCAAGUAUCGAACGAAUAAGCAUCGGCUAACUCCGUGCCAGCAGCCGCGGUAAUACGGAGGAUGCGAGCGUUAUCCGGAUUUAUUGGGUUUAAAGGGUGCGCAGGCGGGAUGUCAAGUCAGUGGUGAAAUGGUGCGGCUCAACCGUAGCAUUGCCGUUGAAACUGGCGUCCUUGAGUGCGAAUGAGGUACGCGGAACGUGUCAUGUAGCGGUGAAAUGCAUAGAUAUGACACAGAACACCGAUUGCGAAGGCAGCGUACUGGGACGCGACUGACGCUGAGGCACGAAAGUGCGGGGAUCGAACAGGAUUAGAUACCCUGGUA
rnacentral:rRNA from 1 species